UCUCCGUAGGUGAACCUGCGGAGGGAUCAUUACAGAGUUCUCGCCCUCGCGGGUAGAUCUCCCACCCACUGUUAUCGUUACUGUCGUUUCUUUGGCGGGCCGCCGCGUCCCCUGCCGCCGGCGCCUAAUACGCUGCGCGCGCCCGCCAGAGGCCUUCGAACCCUGAAUGUUAGUGUGGGCGUAGUACUAGAUAAUAGGUAAAACUUUCAACAACGUGUCUCUUGGGUCUGGCAUCCCUGAAGAACGCAGCAGAACGGAAGAGCACAGGUCUGCACUCGA
rnacentral:misc_RNA from 1 species